GCCCAGUGAUGAGACCAAGGCGAAUACGAGCUUACUGAAUGAGAGUUGGGUUCUUCUUGCCUUGACUGGCAGGUAAUCUUGGCAGUGCAGAGGAGCAUUCCUGCUCUGCUGUAAGGGCCCGCCUACAGUGACUUGGCUCAACCCAAAUUAUUCCGCUACAGUCACAGCAGAGUAAUUGCUGGGAUUAAGCCGACAGUGUGUUUUGUGUGUCUGUGUGUGUGUUGUGUGUAAGAGGCAAGGAGUUCACCCAGCUCUCUUUACUGUUCAGUUAGCAGUGAGUUGCUUCUUUGGUAAUCUGAGGGCA